GACGGAGGGCGCAAGCGUUGUUAGGAAUUACUGGGCGUAAAGUGCGUGUAGGCGGCCAGGUCAGUCGGAUGUGAAAGCCCGGGGCCCAACCCCGGAACUGCACCCGAUACUGCCCGGCUGGAGUCUCGGAGAGGAUGGCGGAAUUUCCGGUGUAGAGGUGAAAUUCGUAGAUAUCGGAAGGAACACCAGUGGCGAAGGCGGCCAUCUGGACGGUGACUGACGCUGAGACGCGAAAGCGUGGGGAGCAAACAGG
rnacentral:rRNA from 1 species